rnacentral:rRNA from 1 species
UCCCUCUCCUACGGGAGGCAGCAGUGGGGAAUAUUGCACAAUGGGCGCAAGCCUGAUCCAGCCAUGCCGCGUGGGGGAUGACGGCCUUCGGGUUGUAAACCUCUUUCGACCUUGACGAAGCCUUUCGGGGUGACGGUAGGGGUAGAAGAAGCACCGGCCAACUACGUGCCAGCAGCCGCGGUAAUACGUAGGGUGCGAGCGUUGUCCGGAAUUAUUGGGCGUAAAGAGCUCGUAGGCGGUCUGUCGCGUCGGUCGUGAAAACUUGGGGCUUAACCCUGAGCUUGCGGUCGAUACGGGCAUGACUGGAGUUCGGCAGGGGAGACUGGAAUUCCUGGUGUAGCGGUGAAAUGCGCAGAUAUCAGGAGGAACACCGGUGGCGAAGGCGGGUCUCUGGGCCGAUACUGACGCUGAGGAGCGAAAGCGUGGGGAGCGAACAGGAUUAGAUACCCUGGUAGUCCACGCCGUAAACGGUGGGCGCUAGGUGUGGGGGCCAUUCCACGGUCUCUGUGCCGCAGCUAACGCAUUAAGCGCCCCGCCUGGGA